GAAAUUUUUUACCGUCGCAUUCCGCCCUUUACCUUCUCAAUCCCUAAGCAUUUCUGUCCAACCUACGAUCUCUUCACCUAUUUCGCAUUUUUCUUUUUUGAUCUCUUCUCGAUUUCUAAGCAUUCCCCCCCUCUGCCACAACCUCGCUACCACCAGAAUCCCCCUGACUUCCCCGACGAGCUCUUCUUCAUCCUGUAAGAGAAAGGCGGAAUGAAUCUGUGCCUCUUUUGUUGUCAUAAUUUUUUUAUAAGUGAACGAGGAAGAGGAUGCGAAGGGCUUAGGUCAUCGAUCAGGGAUUCCAUUCUGGUCGUCGUCUCCUCUUCGCUAUUCCCUUUGAAGCGAUCUGGAGACAUUAGAUAGGGACGAGCAAGAUCUGUCUCACUUCUAAGUGUGUCGUCGAGGGGAGCACGAGCAGGGUCAGGCAGUGGAGCUUGAGGGAACUUUGCAUUUCAUCCUGAAAUUGUAAACUUCCUACAUAUUUGAUACUUGCUAGUGUACCUCGAAGCUUGUAGGAGGAAGCAUCAGGGAGUACCUCUUGGCUUUGGUGUCGUCGUAGCGACAAUGGAGCUUAAGAAUGCAGGAAGUCGAGCGGAAGACGCAGCUGGCGAGAAGGACGACACGGGAAGGGAGCCGACGGGCUUAGUGCGUCCGAGGGAUGAAAAAGCUGUAGAAGAGUACACUAGUGGGUGAGAAGAACAUACGUGAUGUUUGAGGGAUGUGUAACGUGUUGGAACCCCAAGGUGUUUUGAUGUGGUCAAA